rnacentral:rRNA from 1 species
AGAACGAACGCUGGCGGCAUGCCUAACACAUGCAAGUCGAACGAGACCUUCGGGUCUAGUGGCGCACGGGUGCGUAACGCGUGGGAAUCUGCCCUUGGGUUCGGAAUAACAGUUGGAAACGACUGCUAAUACCGGAUGAUGACGUAAGUCCAAAGAUUUAUCGCCCAGGGAUGAGCCCGCGUAGGAUUAGCUAGUUGGUGAGGUAAAGGCUCACCAAGGCGACGAUCCUUAGCUGGUCUGAGAGGAUGAUCAGCCACACUGGGACUGAGACACGGCCCAGACUCCUACGGGAGGCAGCAGUGGGGAAUAUUGGACAAUGGGCGAAAGCCUGAUCCAGCAAUGCGCGUGAGUGAUGAAGGCCUUAGGUUGUAAAGCUUCGUUUUAACCCGGGAAGAUAAGUGACGUGUAACCGGAGAAUAAGCUCCGGCUAACUCCGUGCCAGCAGCCGAC